ACUGACAGGAGAGCAUUUUGA
rnacentral:miRNA from 1 species